rnacentral:lncRNA from 1 species
GCCUGCACACUGUAGGCCGUGUUGGUUCGCGUGCUGUAGCUCCACUGCUCUGCAUCUCUAAACUCCUCGCAACGUGCUCUUCAAGCUGGGCUUCUCCACAUCUAGGUUUAUGCUCCUGUGAGUCAAAUUCAAGGUAUUUUUCUUAAUAAUCUCCACCUCGAUUCGAUAUUUGGCCUCCAUUUGACUUUGAGAGCUUUUGAAUCUUUUCAUCUCCACACUCUGGGAUAAUUGCCUGCUACUCAUGAAUAGACAAACAUAAGAGUUGAGCC